rnacentral:misc_RNA from 1 species
GUCAUAUUUGUACGUACUAUAUCUUUAUACUAAAAAAUUGUACUUUUUGAUUGAGAUAUUAGAUAUUAAUUUUGCUCUGCAGUAUUUUUUUGAAUUGUUUCUUGCAAUGCUGUUGCAUUUGUUUGAUACACGCAUCUACCAUUACACAAGUUAAAAUUAAACUUUUAUGGAUUGAUCAAUAAUAAGAAUUUUGAGAUAUUUUUUCCUGCUUCAGUUUUAUUCUUCUUGCUGCUUGUUUUGAAAAUGCUCAGAAAAUACUCAUUUUAUUAUUCAAAGGGGAAUUUUAUUGCUUGAUGAAAUUGGCAUGUCAUUUCUCUUUUUUUUUUGGAGUGUGUUUAAAGACAGUAUAUAUGAUUGUAUAUGUAUGAAUAUUGAAGCAUUCUUUUCAGAUGAGGAAAACCAUCUCAUGAUGAAGUUAUCUGUAAGUGCAUAGUGCAUGUAUCAUGUACUAACCGUGUUAAAAUAAAUCAAAC